CUCUUUCUAACUCAGUUGCAUGGUUAGAGUUCUGAACCGGUACCGCAGGGCCGCAGGUUCGAUUCCUGCUAGAGGGC